rnacentral:rRNA from 1 species
UAUAGAGGUCUCAAGCGUUGUUCGGAUUCAUUGGGCGUAAAGGGUGCGUAGGCGGCGCGGUAAGUCGGGUGUGAAAUCUCGGAGCUUAACUCCGAAACUGCAUUCGAUACUGCCGUGCUUGAGGACUGGAGCGGAGACUGGAAUUUACGGUGUAGCGGUGAAAUGCGUAGAUAUCGUAAGGAAGACCAGUGGCGAAGGCGGGUCUCUGGACAGUUCCUGACGCUGAGGCACGAAGGUCAGGGGAGCAAACGGG